GGGCGAUUAGCUCAGCGGGAGAGCGCUCGCUUCACACGCGAGAGGUCACUGGUUCGAAACCAGUAUCGCCCA
rnacentral:tRNA from 1 species